UAUCACUAAGCUGGAGCAUCUGGCCCCUUCCUUGUCCGAGUUGUAACUUGAAGAUUGUAACCUUGGGGUUGGCUCUUGUCUAUGUUUCUUGGAACAGGACGUCACAGAGGGUGAGAAUCCCGUGCGAUGAGAUGCCCAAUUCUAUGUAAGGUGCUUUCGAAGAGUCGAGUUGUUUGGGAAUGCAGCUCUAAGUGGGUGGUAAAUUCCAUCUAAAGCUAAAUAUUGGCGAGAGACCGAUAGCGAACAAGUACAGUGAUGGAAAGAUGAAAAGAACUUUGAAAAGAGAGUGAAAAAGUACGUGAAAUUGUUGAAAGGGAAGGGUUUGAGAUCAGACUCGAUAUUUUGUGAGCCUUGCCUUCGUGGCGGGGUGACCCGCAGCUUAUCGGGCCAGCAUCGGUUUGGGCGGUAGGAUAAUGGCGUAGGAAUGUGACUUUACUUCGGUGAAGUGUUAUAGCCUGCGUUGAUGCUGCCUGCCUAGACCGAGGACUGCGAUUUUAUCAAGGAUGCUGGCAUAAUGAUCCCAAACC
rnacentral:rRNA from 1 species